CAGACAAACCCUGGUCAUUCAGUACAACUUAGGACCCACCCAAACCCAUAUCUGUCCAGAUGGAAUUUGGUUAAAUUAAUACCAAUGAUAUUAUUGAAAGAAAGUUAAUCUCAUAAAACUACAAGUAAAAACACAUGCAGCCUAAGAACUCUUCCUCUUGCUCCCUGAAGAAAUUUGGACAAAUCACUUCUUCCAGAACCUUCAUGCUCUCUGCUAUAAAACCAAGAGAUUAGGGGAAAGCAGUGUUCCCCCAAAUUGGUCAAACUCAAGCAACAUCAAGAGAGCUUUGGCUGAAAAACUCCAAGAGUGGACCUAAAAGUCAGUUUCUUUCUUUAUAAAGUUCCCCCAGGUGAUCCUGAAGCACCCGGCCCAGCCUAGCCCAGCCCAGAAUUACAGCCAGUAUCAUGGAAACA